GAAGCUCAAAUUGACUCUAGUAGGGAGUCCUUUAAUGAGCGACUCCCUAACGGAGUCAGAUUGAGCUACAA
rfam:Drosophila simulans chromosome 3R, whole genome shotgun sequence.